AUUGAACGCUGGCGGCAGGCCUAACACAUGCAAGUCGGACGGUAGCACAGAGGAGCUUGCUCCUCGGGUGACGAGUGGCGGACGGGUGAGUAAUGUCUGGGGAUCUGCCCGAUAGAGGGGGAUAACCACUGGAAACGGUGGCUAAUACCGCAUAACGUCGCAAGACCAAAGAGGGGGACCUUCGGGCCUCUCACUAUCGGAUGAACCCAGAUGGGAUUAGCUAGUAGGCGGGGUAACGGCCCACCUAGGCGACGAUCCCUAGCUGGUCUGAGAGGAUGACCAGCCACACUGGAACUGAGACACGAUCCAGACUCCUACGGGAGGCAGCAGUGGGGAAUACUGCACAAUGGGCGCAAGCCUGAUGCAGCCAUGCCGCGUGUAUGAAGAAGGCCUUCGGGUUGUAAAGUACUUUCAGCGGGGAGGAAGGCGAUGUGGUUAAUAACCGCGUCGAUUGACGUUACCCGCAGAAGAAGCACCGGCUAACUCCGUGCCAGCCGCCGCAGUAA
rnacentral:rRNA from 1 species